CCCACGUGACCGCCACGCCCCAACCACCUUCCCUUUAAGCCGUCCCUUUAACAGCUGGGACCCUCAUGUGUAUUUCCGGGUUUCCACUGUGCUGCUGCUCACUGUUGGUUGUGGCGUUGGUUGUUAAUAAAACAAUCUCAAAUCUCCAACUCAACUCAUCGCUGAACGAAUUCAUCUCUAAAACUCGAGGAUCUGCGGUUGGGCUUUGUUGAUGCCUGGUUUACCUUCUGAUGAGAACAAGUAACAUCCACUUCCUCAAACAAUCCGUUACUCGACGGACCGCAGUGAAGUUAGUUUCAAGUUGGAUAUUCGAUAUUCGAGCUCCGCG